rnacentral:rRNA from 1 species
UCAGGAUGAACGCGUAGCGGCAGGCUUAACACAUGCAAGUCGAGGGGCAUCGGGAGUAGCAAUACUUGCCGGCGACCGGCGCAAGGGUGCGUAACGCGUGAGCAACAUGCCCGUAUCAGGGGGAUAAUCCAUGGAAACGUGGUCUAAUACCCCAUAGUAAUUAUGUAAGGCAUCUUAUAUAAUUUAAAGCUUUGGUGGAUACGGAUUGGCUCGCGUGACAUUAGCUGGAUGGUAAGGUAACGGCUUACCAUGGCUACGAUGUCUAGGGGUUCUGAGAGGAAGGUCCCCCACACUGGAACUGAGACGCGGUCCAGACUCCUACGGGAGGCAGCAGUGAGGAAUAUUGGACAAUGGAUGGAAAUCUGAUCCAGCCAUGCCGCGUGCAGGAAGACGGCCCUAUGGGUUGUAAACUGCUUUUGUAUGGGAGCAAUAAGGGCUACGUGUAGUCCGAUGAGAGUACCAUACGAAUAAGCACCGGCUAACUCCGUGCCAGCCGCCGC